rnacentral:rRNA from 1 species
GCACAGAGUUAGCCGGGGCUUCCUCACCCGGUACCGUCAGACCUCGACGUGUUAGGUCGAAGCUUUUCGUCCCGGGCAACAGGAGUUUACAAUCCGAAGACCUUCAUCCUCCACGCGGCGUUGCGUCAUCAGGCUUGCGCCCAUUGUGAACAAUUCCCCACUGCUGCCUCCCGUAGGAGUCUGGGCCGGGGUCAGACCCGGAGUGCCCGACCGCCCUCUCAUGCGGGAUAUUGAUCGCCG